UUAAUUUCUUCUGACACCCUGGAAGUCUUGAAAUGAAGAUCACAUUCAAAAGCUUCUACAUUCCCCUCAAGAAAAAUAUUCAAGUGCAUCCCCAGGAAAGGGUGCCUGAAUGUGAAUUAUUAGGCAAUAUCAGUCAGACUCUCUUUAGCAGCAGCAUUUUCCAAGGAAGAAUUUCACAAAGCCCAAGACGUCAACUGCUACAAUGGAACCAUGUAUUUAUUUCACAAUAAGUAGAUUUAUCUUGUGUACAUAAACUAAGUACAGAUUUUGUUUCGUUUCUUUACCCAUAUUUUACAAAUCUGUGAUUGUGCUACUAUAUUUAGAUACUAAAAACAAUACUUCUAGUUUACCUUAAUCUGUUUUAAGCUAUGGCCCAGCUCACCAGCACAAUUCUGCAUUGUCUACAAGUAAGAAAGUUGCUUCCCCUCCUAUCACACAGCUCAGAUUCUGGCCCCACCAGAACUGGACAGAACCCAAGUGUACCCAGGGACUCACAGCAACUGAACAGGCCCUCUGACCUAAAACAGGAUGCCAGAGUGCACUCUUAUCCCUUGCAGCUACUGGGGUCUGCUGGGGUCUAGGUCGCAUGCAGACCUCCUGUUGAUCCUUUUCUAUUCUGGAGCUGUCCUUGCUCAUUCCUCUCUCAUGGGAAGCAGGCCCUGGGCUCUGAAACCUUUCCAUUAUUCCAAAGGCAGCUGUAUGUGCAGAAGACAGCAAGAAUGAUGACUGAAGGAAAUUUAUAAGAGACUGAAAAGUACUGAAAAGGAUACCUGAAAUACAGAGGAAGAAAGAAAUCAAGGAGCACAUGAAUAAACAGCUAAAAACUG